rnacentral:tRNA from 1 species
GCGGCCGUGGUGUAGUGGCAGCACAAGAGCCUUCCAAGCUCUCGGCCCGGGUUCAAAUCCCGGCGGUCGCA